GGUGGAAAAGUGAAGAAAGGAAGAAAAGCAACCACCAAUAAACGGGAUGACUUCCUCAUCGGGCAAGAAUAUCAAGACAGUUGGAAUCAAGAGGAGGGAACCAGAAAAAUUUUACUCUAAUAGGUUCCUCUCUAGGAGACAUGAGCAGCAUCACCUCCUUGUCUAGUAGAGACGCCUAUUAAUGGAUAGGACGAUAGGUUGGAUCCCAGACUAUGCUCCACAGUUUGGACAAGAGCUUGAGAGUAGGAAUUAGGAAAAGCUGGCUACAUACCCUGCUCUUGCAAAUAUAGCAGUGGUAAAAGGGUUCUACACAAAUGCCAAGCCACUAGGAGAUUCUCACUUUAUGGAAUAUAUGAGUUAUGUGCGUGGAAAGGUCAUAAGGUAUGAUCUUGAAACAAUUAACAGGUUCCUGGAGACAGAGUGGGCAGGUGUGUAGUGCCAAUAUGCUUUCAAUGUGGAGGAGGGCACUGAUUUUGAAGAUAUAGAGAGUGUACUUUGUGUGCCUGGAGGGCACUUUCACAAGAAUCCGAGUGGUGUUGCUAUUCACAUCAAGAGGGCUAACCUGACACCACUAGCGCAGUAUUGGAUGGCAUCCGAGUGGUGUUGCUAUUCCAUUACUGUUAACAGGGCCAUGUUUAUUUACUGUAUGCUCAGAAGAAUGAAUGUUAACAUUGGUCAAGUGAUUGCAAGCGAGAUUAAGAGUUGUGCAACUACUGUGAACACCAAGGAACCUUUAGGGCAUCCCUCUUUGAUCACGCACCUGUGCCAGCAAGCUGGGAUGGACACUUCUACUCCACCAUUUGAGCGACCCAAGAAGGCCAUUGAUGAGGCCUACUACCGACAAUAUUGUGGUGGAGAGGUAGCAGCCCAGCCAGUGCCUCAGAGACGCCCUAGGAGGAGAUUUCCACCAUAACAGGCUCAGGGACCAGCUCAUGAUACAGAGCCCUUUCAGAUGAGGGACAUGUACAUGUCUCUUAUGGAGUUCAGAUUGGUGUCUAUUCAUAGAGGACAGGUUGCUACUGCCGAGAUAAUCAUACGCAUGUAUGACACGCCUCCAACACAUAGGUGGACUAUGGAUGAGUUUAACAGUGUGGUGGCUUGGCUAGAGCAGAUGUAGGGAAGUGUAUCUGGAGCAGCUGAAGCUCCAAAGAUGGAGGAUGAUGAUGAUGACGAUUUUGAGAUGUUGAGGAUGGAGAUGAGGAGGAUUCUGAUGAUAGUAUGGGUUGAGGGGCAGACAUGGCAUCUAUUGAUGGAUGUCAGCUACAUUAGAACAAGAUUUUUCUUUAUCUUUUUGCUUUGUAAUUUGAACUUAUAUUUGCUUCAGUUGAGUAGUGUAGGGUUGAUGUACUUGGUUUGAUACUUUAUCUGUUAUGAUGGUUUGAUUAGUAUUGUUGCAUGAUGAGAAUUGCACUGUAUGCUGAUAUACAGGUGGUGGUUAACAAGCUUUGUGAACAGAUGCAUGAUGAUAUUAUGAUUGUGGUUGUGAUGCUAA